rnacentral:lncRNA from 10 species
GAUUUCCUCCCUGAUCACUCAGCAGUACCCAUUCCCUAGCUCCCUGCCCACCAAAUUGUCCAUUAAAAACCCUAAUCUCUGAGCCUUCAAGGAAACUGACUUGAGGAGUAACACCAUCUUCUGUGUGCCUGGCCUUGUGUCAAAUUUUUCUCUACUGCAAUGCUGAGGUCUCAGUAAAUCGAUUUUUGUCUGUGCAGUGGGCUGGAAGGAGUCAACAGGGACAAGGUGUCACCAUGUUGCCCAGGCUGGUCUUGAACUCCUGGGAUCAAGGAAUCCUCCUGCCUCAGCCUCCCAAAGUGCUAGAAUUAGAGACGUGAGGCACCACACCACCUACCUUUAUAUUUAAGCAACAGUUUGACUGCAUACAAAAUUCCUGGGUCACAUCUCUUUGCUGGAGGAUUUUAUUGGCUCUGAGAAGCUGACUUUUAUUGAUCGCAUAAACGGGGAUGCUUUGAGCUCUAACUUCUGGUUGGCUGAAGCAAUGACAGCCGACAGCAGGACAUCAAAAAGGGGAUGAAGAAUGGAGCUUGAAGGGUAUUCCUGUAGCCCCUUCCUGGCUGGAUCACAACAGGCUGGCUAGGUUGCCUUAUCAAACUGAAACCGCCUUUGCAAAAUUAUCACUGAGACGGUGAAAGAGUUUUAACUUAACCGACUCCAUCUUGCUUCUAACCUCCUUGUUCGUUCAGCAUAGGCUGAACUAACUUUGAGAGAAACUUAUAGUUUAAAACAAAGAUGAUAACAGCCCUUUCCCAAAGCACACCUCCUUCUUGCCUGGGGACUAGAUUCCCUUUGUAGGACUAACAUUAGCUACAAGAUUAGAAAUUAUGGUUUAAGAGUCAUGCAACUAGAGGCUUCAAGAUUUUCUUCAAAUAUCUCAGUGCUUGAGAUAUUUUCCAGACCCUGCAAUUGCCGGAUCAGCUGGCACCACCCAGAUGGAUAAACUGGCUAAUCUGAUCUUGUGGCUCCCACCCAGGAAGUGACUCAGCACAAGAAGACAGCUUCAACUCCCUAUGAUUUCAUUUCCGUCCUGACCAAUCAGCACUCCCGGGUCACUGGCUUCCCCCAACCCACCAAUUUAUCCUUAAAGAUUCUGCUCCUGGCUGGGCGUGGUGACUCGCACCUGUAAUCCCAGCACUUUUGGAGGUUGAGGUGGGUGGAUCACCCGAGGUCAGGAGUUCGAGACCAGCCUGACCAACAUAGUGAAACCCCGUCUCUAUUAAAAAUACAAAAUUAGCCGGGCGUGGUGGCACAUGCCUGUAAUCUCAGCUACUUGGUAGGCUGAGGCAGGAGAAUCACUUGAACCCAGGAGGCAGAGGUUGCAGUGAGCCAAGACAGCGCCACUGCACUCCAGCCUGGGUGACAGAGCAAGACUCUGAAAAAAAAACACAAACAAAAAAAAACUCUGCUCCCCAAAUGCUUGGGGAGACUGAUUUGAGUAAUAAUAAAACUGUCUCCCGCACAGCUGGCUCUGUGUGAAUUACUCUUUCUCUAUUGUA